GAUGAUAGGAGAGGGGCAGUCUGACAUGGAACUGCAGAUGAAGAAAAGAACAGGCUAAAGAAUCUAGGAGAGUAUCACCAUCAAUGUGAGAAUCAACACCAUAUCUGAAGAUCAUUCAUUGCCAUUUGUAGAAGAUGACAGACUUCAUAAGAAGACACAACCAACAACAAGACACAAAAAACAGUUGUAAAUCAGAUUCCAGGUAAGCAAGUCGGUACAAGUGUGGGGACAGGCCACCAAGAAGACUUGGCUGACAUUAUUCCACAGAUCCUCAAACUGUAGCAACACUGAUGCUACAGGAGGGGGAAAAACCUAGUAUCUAUUUGGAAGUAAUGAUGGUUUUAAAAGAGAAGCAUUCCACCUUCUCUCACUCCUACCCAAUAAACAAAACUUUCUUUUUCUUUCUUUCUUUUUCUUUUUUUUUUUCUUUUUUCUUUUUUUAAUAAAUGAGUUAGAAAACUCUCAUAGGUGAAUUUAUCUUUCUGUCUCAAUUUGGCAACUUAUUUAUAUAAUAUUUAAGUGUGGAAAAAGCACUUUGAUGUUGCCAUAUAUGAUUACAAAGAACAAUU